GUGGUGGUGGUGGUGUUAUUAGCGGCGGAAGUGCUCUGCCGAUCCGCUUCCUCAUCGGCAGCUCGGUCCUUGCUCUGCUGCUCCUUCAGCUUCAGCGCUGCAAUCUGAAAAAUUAAAGCCAUCAAGUGACUGAGUACUAGAACUCGGUUAGCGCCUGUGCGGAGACCACUGCUUUCUGAAUUAUGGUUCUGCAGCCGAGAUUAGCAGGAUGUGAGAAGAGACGAUGUGAGUUUACCACAUUGGUGGAGUGAAAUUAGGCAUGAUUGGGAAGCAAUUGGUACUCCCCAUCUAACACAAGGGCGAGGGCUUGAGAGCAUCUGGAGACUAAGAAGCGACCGCAAUGACGGGCCUUGAGAUUCUAUCAGGAAACCUAAUGGCAGGGGGUAAGUAGGCCAACCUCUUAUAAGCUUAUGCAAGGUUUCUUUACUCUACAAAGUGUCACAUCUUCACAUGCUCCUCACCUGUAGCAAGGUUCGCACAAUACAUAAGAACAAUAUCUAAUUUGGAGCACAUGUGGCCAUAUGGCUUCAAAUGUUGGAUAACUUAUUCUAUACUAUGAUGGAAGUUGAGAUUA